UACAGAGGUCUCAAGCGUUGUUCGGAUUCAUUGGGCGUAAAGGGCUCGUAGGCGGUUUGGCAAGUCGGAUGUGAAAUCUCCAGGCUCAACCUGGAGGGGUCAUUCGAAACUGCUAUGACUAGAGUUCGGUAGAGGAGUGUGGAAUUCCUGGUGGAGCGGUGAAAUGCGCAGAGAUCAGGAAGAACACCCGUGGCGAAGGCGGUUCUCUGGGACGGUACUGACGCUGAGACGCGAAAGCGUGGGGAGCGAACAGG
rnacentral:rRNA from 1 species